AUUGAACGCUGGCGGCAUGCUUUACACAUGCAAGUCGAACGGUAACAGGUUAAGCUGACGAGUGGCGAACGGGGGAGUAAUGCAUCGGAACGUGCCCGAUCGUGGGGGAUAACGCAGCGAAAGCUGAGCCAAUACCGAAUACGCUCUGAGGAUGAAAGCGGGGGACCUUAAGGCCUCGCGCGAUCAGAGCGGCCGAUGUCAGAUUAGGUAAUUGGUGGGGUAAAGGCCCACCAAGCCGACGAUCUGGAGCUUGUCUGAGAGGACGAACAGCCACACUGGGAAUGAGACACGGCCCAGACUCCUACGGGAGGCAGAAGUGGGGAAUUGUGGACAAUGGGCGAAAGCCUGAUCCAGCAAUGCCGCGUGCAGGAAGAAGGCCUUCGGGUUGUAAACUGCUUUUGUACGGAGCGAAAAGGCCCUUUCUAAUACAGGGGGCUCAUGACGGUACCGUAAGAAUAAGCACCGGCUAACUACGUGCCAGCCGCCGCCGUAAAAC
rnacentral:rRNA from 1 species